rnacentral:rRNA from 1 species
UACGUAGGGGGCAAGCGUUGUCCGGAUUUAUUGGGCGGAAAGAGCGUGUAGGCGGCUUGGUAGGUCCGCUGUGAAAACUCGAGGCUCAACCUCGAGAUGUCGGCGGAAACCACUUGGCUAGAGUCCGGAAGAGGAGAGUGGAAUUCCUGGUGUAGCGGUGAAAUGCGCAGAUAUCAGGAAGAACACCAAUGGCGAAGGCAGCUCUCUGGGACGGUACUGACGCUGAUGCGCGAAAGCGUGGGGAGCAAACGGG